GACGUAGGGAGCGAGCGUUGUCCGGAUUCAUUGGGCGUAAAGAGCGCGCAGGCGGUUUGGUAAGUCGGAUGUGAAAACCCGGGGCUCAACCCCGGGCGUGCAUCCGAUACUGCCCGACUAGAGGUAGGUAGGGGAGAUCGGAAUUCCUGGUGUAGCGGUGAAAUGCGCAGAUAUCAGGAGGAACACCGGUGGCGAAGGCGGAUCUCUGGGCCUUACCUGACGCUCAGGCGCGAAAGCUAGGGGAGCGAACAGG
rnacentral:rRNA from 1 species